UACGGGGGGGGCAAGCGUUGUUCGGAAUUACUGGGCGUAAAGGGCUCGUAGGCGGCCAACUAAGUCGGACGUGAAAUCCCCAGGCUCAACCUGGGAACUGCGUCCGAUACUGGAUGGCUUGAAUUCGGGAGAGGGAUGCAGAAUUCCAGGUGUAGCGGUGAAAUGCGUAGAUAUCUGGAGGAACACCGGUGGCGAAGGCGGCAUUCUGGACCGAUAUUGACGCUGAGGAGCGAAAGCCAGGGGAGCAAACGGG
rnacentral:rRNA from 1 species